CCAUAUGGGAUAUCUGGCUUUCACCCAGAAGGCCCGGGUUCGAUUCCCGGUAUGG
rnacentral:tRNA from 1 species